rnacentral:rRNA from 1 species
AGGACGAACGCUGGCGGCGUGCUUAACACAUGCAAGUCGAGCGGAAAGGCCCUUCGGGGUACUCGAGCGGCGAACGGGUGAGUAACACGUGAGUAACCUGCCCCUAGCUCUGGGAUAGCUCCGGGAAACCGGGAUUAAUACCAGAUACGACCACUUUAGACAUCUGUCGUGGUGGAAAGGAUUCCGGCUAGGGAUGGGCUCGCGGCCUAUCAGCUUGUUGGUGGGGUAACGCCUACCAAGGCGACGACGGUAGCCGGCCUGAGAGGGCGACCGGCCACACUGGGACUGAGACACGGCCCAGACUCCUACGGGAGGCAGCAGUGGGGAAUAUUGCGCAAUGGGCGAAAGCCUGACGCAGCGACGCCGCGUGGGGAUGAAGGCCUUCGGGUUGUAAACCCCUUUCAGCAGGGACGAAGCGAAAGUGACGGUACCUGCAGAAGAAGCGCCGGCUAACUACGUGCCAGCAGCCGC